rnacentral:rRNA from 1 species
AUGAUCCUGGCUCAGACGGAACGCUAGCGGCAGUCCUAAUACAUGCAAGUCGAACGAGAUUAAGAGGUUGCUUCUUAUGAAAGUGCUACACGGGGAUCUAACGCGUAUGCAACCUACCUUAAUCAGGAUAGCCCGAAGAACGGAUUAAGACCGCAUAAACACAGGAUAGCAUUAUCCAAUGUUCAAAUAUUUAUAGGAUUAAGAUGGGCAUGCGUGUCAUUAGCUAGUUGGCACUGUAACGGCCCACCAAGGCGACGAUGACUAGGGGAUCUGAGAGGAUGACCCCCCACACUGGUACUGAGACACGGACCAGACUCCUACGGAGGCAGCAGUAAGGAAUAUUGGUCAAUGGAGGGAACUCUGAACCAGCCAUGCCGCGUGCAGGAAGACAGCCCUCUGGGUCGUAAACUGCUUUAUUCGGAAUAAACCUUUCUACGUGUAGGAAGCUGAAUGUACCGAAGGAAUAAGGAUCGGCUAACUCCGUGCCAGCAGCCGCGGUAAUACGGGAUCCAAGCGUUAUCCGGAUUUAUUGGGUUCGGAGGACACGUAGGCGGCUUAUUAAGUCAGGUGAAAGACGGUGGCUCACCCAUCGCAGUGAUGUUGAUACUGAUGAGCUUGAAUACACUAGAGGUAGGCGGAAUGUGACAAGUAGCGGUGAAAUGCAUAGAUAUGUCAAACACCGAUUGSGAAGGCAGCAGACUAUGGUGUUAUUGACGCUGAGGCACGACAUCGUGGGGAUCAAACAGGAUUAGAUACCCUGGUAGUCCACGCCCUAAACGAUGAAUACUCGCUGUUAGCGAUAUACAGUUAGCGGCUAAGCGAAAGCGUUAAGUAUUCCACCUGGGGAGUACGCCCGCAAGGGUGAAACUCAAGAAUUGACGGGCCCGCACAAGCGGAGGAGCAUGUGGUUUAAUUCGAUGAUACGCGAGGAACCUUACCCGGGCUUGAGCGUUAGUGAAUGAUCUAGAGAUAGAUCAGUGAGCAAUCACACGAAACUAGGUGCUGCAUGUCGUCCUCACGCCGUGAGUUGGGUUAAGUAUGGCAACGAGCGCAACCAACGUUAGUUGCCAGCACGUUAAGGUGAUUCUCUAAAGACUGCCUGUGCAAACAGAGAGGAAGGAGCGUGACGUCAUUUCAUCAUGGCCCUUACGUCCUAUUACACACGUGCUACAAUGGAUAUCCCAGAGGGCAGCAAGCUGGCAACAGCAAGCGAAUCUCAAAAAGCCAUUCACAGUUCGGAUAGAGGUCUGCAACUCGACCUCUUGAAGUUGGAUUCGCUAGUAAUCGCGUAUCAGCAAUGACGCGGUGAAUACGUUCCCGGUGUACACACCGCCCGUCAAGUAGCGGAAGUUGGGUACCUCGAGUAUGUAACCGUAAGGAGCGUCCUAGGGUAAGUCCGAUGCCUGGUAUUAAGUCGUAACAAGGUAACC